rnacentral:rRNA from 1 species
AACGUGGGUUCCGAGCGUUAUCCGGAUUUACUGGGCGUAAAGCGCGUUCAGGCGGUUUGGCAAGUCGGGCAUGAAAUCUCUCGGCUCAACCGGGAGAGGUUGUCCGAUACUGCUGGACUUGAGGGCAGUAGAGGGUGGUGGAAUUCCGGGUGUAGUGGUGAAAUGCGUAGAUAUCCGGAGGAACACCAGUGGCGAAAGCGGCCACCUGGACUGUACCUGACGCUGACACGCGAAAGCUAGGGGAGCGAACGGG